UUUUAUAAAAUAUGGAAUAGCAGAUAUCAGAAGGUAUCACCACGUCAGGAUAGCAUUAUUUUCGUUCCAUGUCUUACCCUAUUAUGUGGGUUGUGCUGGGAUAUAAAAUGGCAGGUGGAUCAAGACUGGACUGGAUGCCCCAAACUUCUCUUCUAAUUUGGCUAUCAUAUUAAUUAUUGUUAUUAUUAACAUGUUAGCAUUAACAGCAUAUCAGCUAUCAUGUACUAAGUGCCUCUAAGUGCUAAAGGUCUCCCGACGUUAACUCCUUUACUCCUGAAAUAUCCCUUCAAGGUAAUUAUUAUUCCUACUUUACGGGUGAGCCUGGGAUUGCUUAUUUAAACUGCCCAGGGUCAAACACUGAACAGUUUUCAGAGACAGGAUUCUUGCCCAAAGCAGGCUAUCUCAAAAUAGGCUUUCCCAAUUCAGCAUCAUUGUGCAGCUACCCAUAAUCCUCUGCCCAGUUACUUAGCACCCAGGCAUCAGCUUCCCCUCUGCAAAGAAUUCAGUGAUGGAAAUUAGGAAGACCUUGGACUAAUAGGCUCUGUGCGUGUGAUUGGCUAACGGUACAAUGGGCCUUUGAUGAUUGCAGUAAGAACACUGAGCACUUCUCCAGUUGGCAUGGAGCUUUUUCUUCUUGUCACUAAGGUAAACGGAGCAUCGCGGAGUCUGUGGGGGCGGGUAAUGAUGCACAAAGGUCUAGUCCAUCAGGACUGGGAGGAGGUGAGAAAAUAGCCCUGGCACUCCUUGUCUGAAGACACUGUGCAUGGUGUCUUUGCCCACAGCAUCCAGCCCUCCUGCGCAAGCAGGCUCCGGGCCAGACGCUCUUGAAAGCAGAUACCAAUUCUUGGGGACUCUCUUUCUGAAAUACCUCUGGCAGUCCUUCUCCCUCGUCUCCAGGAUCUGCCACCACUUUCCCCCCGGACCUCAACGUCUUGCAGCUGUUCUCACUGAGUUUGUUUCUCCUGCUCUACAGAGUCAUCAGGAAGCCCUUCCUGAUACCACCUGGGACACAUCACUGUAA
rnacentral:lncRNA from 1 species